rnacentral:lncRNA from 1 species
GACAAAUGAAAAAAAGACUGGAUAAGAUAAUGACAAUAUAAAAGAUAGAUUGAAGUUUUAAAAAGAGCUAAAAAGUGUUUAACAGUAUAAAAAGGCAUGAAAAACAAAGAAAGAGGCUUGGGCACUAAAGCAAUAUAAAGAGAUUAUUGGGCGCCCUUGGAUGAAAAUCAAGCAUUGGAUGGACUUUUAGGAAAAAAAAAAUUAAAUACAAGUUUCUUUAUUUUAAUUUAUUGAAAACUUCCCUAUUGUGCAUUUAUA